rnacentral:lncRNA from 1 species
GCCAGUACAAGUUCUGUUUUCUUCUUUUCUUUUCCCCGGUUCUCCGUAAAUGAUUGGUGACACUGCGGUGGUGACUAGCCAGCAACCGAAUUGCCUACGUACAUCAGGUGUUAUUAUCGGUUUUUCAUGUGGCUGUGAGACAGCCGAGAGUGUGAGGGGUCAUGCAAGCAUCAAGCAUGCUGUCAGACGGACAGUGGUGCGCCAUAUCCUUCGAUUCAUAGGAUGUUUAUUAAUUUGUUUGUACCAAGAGCCUUCUUUUUUAUUCAAAGGAUUCUUAUAGGGAUUUUGAAGGAUUGGAAUCCUUAGAUAUUUAUUUUUUUAUGAGUUAUUUGAUUUGCAGGAUCAAAUGAUAACGAUUUUUUCUAAAGAUUCUUUUGCAAUAUUUCAUAGUAAAUGUUUCAUCCACUUAAACGUCUUGUUAAGAAUCAUCUGUUUUCCUGGUGUUCAGUUAAACCACAAUCUUGUAGAAUUGAGUGGACAUGGCAUUGUAAUCACGUGUCUUUAUAUUUUAAUGUCUUUUUAGAGUGAAAUGUUUUACCUUUUGUUUGGC